rnacentral:rRNA from 1 species
UACGAAGGGGGCUAGCGUUGCUCGGAAUCACUGGGCGUAAAGGGUGCGUAGGCGGGUCUUUUAAGUCAGGGGUGAAAUCCUGGAGCUCAACUCCAGAACUGCCUUUGAUACUGAAGAUCUUGAGUUCGGGAGAGGUGAGUGGAACUGCGAGUGUAGAGGUGAAAUUCGUAGAUAUUCGCAAGAACACCAGUGGCGAAGGCGGCUCACUGGCCCGAUACUGACGCUGAGGCACGAAAGCG